UGGCCAAAAAGUUUGCUUGGGUUUUUCAUGCCAAAACCCUAAUGAACUUUUUGGCCAACUCAAUAUUUUAGGG
rnacentral:miRNA from 1 species